AUGUUUCCAGAAGUCCACCUUAAAGCUCCUAUAAUGUCAUCUCCUAAGUCUUCCGGAAAGAUGACCACGGAUGACAUAGUUGGUAAAGGAUCUGGUGAAGAAGAAAGUGAUGAUUCCAUUGAGUUUGAAAGUGAAGAGAUCAGCUGGGAGUGGACGGUGAAGUUGGGGAAGGCCAAGGCUAUGAGGACUAAUGUCCUUUAA